CAUUUACUCGCCAUCUUGAAGAGAAAUAUUAGUGUGUAUAGUUGGUUUAAUACGGUUAAGUGAUUGUACUCGGUAUAACUCUAAACGGGUACUAACACUAAAGUGUAACGGCCUGUAACAGAAUCAAUAACAUAAAAUACAUUCCCAUUUCGAUUUUCUUCUCCGAGCUCUCAGCUCUGCUAACAGAUAUCAACAAAAUAAAUUGUGUACUACAGAAUAGUCAAUAGGAUAUCUGUUCGUUUUGAGAUCGUACGGAAAGAAUAGUCGUGACGUCACAUGGGAGAUAGGAAGAAAGAGAAGAGAGAAUGUUCGUGGAAAACGGCUGGGUAGAUAUCCAUCACUACUUCUCAGACAUGAACUGACCACUUC
rnacentral:lncRNA from 1 species